UCUAGGGGAAGAAGGAAUAAAGAGAAUACUAGAAUGGGAUUAUCAACAGAAAACCAUAAUUUAAAUUUGAAAGCUGCACAAAUAUCAAAUAAUAGAGUUGCUAAGUGAAACCAAGAGCACUUCUUUGAAAAAUCCUGUAAAAUAAUUAAAACUCUGAAAAAAGCAAUAAGUGGAAGAAAAAGGAAGACACAAGUAGAAUUUGAAGUGACAAUGGGAUCAGAAAUAAUACUGCACCAAAAAAUAUCAUGGGAAUUUCAUGAACCGUUUUCCACUGAGGAAUUUGACACCUAAAUAAGUAAAAUAUUUGACGAAAGCUAGAAGUGUGUCAAAAGCAGCUCAAUACCACAGUCCAGUGCACACGAGGGAAACAGAGGUAGAAGCCACACAUUUCUCAAAAGAAAAAAACAAGGCCGGUUGUCUUUAUGGGAAGGUUUUAGCAAACCUUCAAGGAAUAGAUAACGCCCAGCUUAAGCAAACGGUUCCAAGCAAUAGAAACUGUGGAGGCCAGCCAACCUAUUUUGUAAAGUUAAACAGCGCUGUCAAAAUCAGCCUGUGCUCACCGUGAGACCGGCCUAUAGCGUUUUUUUCUUGCAGCCUUCAUCUUGUUCAUAGACAUCAUCAUUCUCAGCUGGAAUCCGUCAAGAUGACCGUGAAUUCUCAGUUAGACGAGACCUAGACCCACCUGGGGGAUGACCUCUACGCCGACCUGUGGGAGGGUUUCUUGACUGCGCUGAGAGGAGAUACUUGUCCUCUGAGGUUGGCACCAUUUCCCAGCCUCCAGGAUAAUACGUGUUCUGGAUCUUCGUGUAAUUAGCAGACAGACAUGUGGUCCCAGAAAUCUGCUUUCAGACUGAUCCUGGACUGUUAACUGUCUUCCGUUCUUCAGACUACUCCAUGUCGAUACUUUGGGAAACAGAAUGUAUUUGAAAGCCAGGAGCUCAAGAAGCAAAUGGGUUGGUUCCUCUGAGGUCCUUUCCUACGCAAGGGUUUGCUGCCCCCAACUGGACAGAAA